GCGUUGGCCAAUUGAUUGAUGGUGCUUGCACCUGAUUGAUUUUCGUUGCCAACGAGUGGCGGACGGGUGAGUAACACGUAGGUAACCUGCCCAGAAGCGGGGGACAACAUUUGGAAACAGAUGCUAAUACCGCAUAACAGCGUUGUUCGCAUGAACAACGCUUAAAAGAUGGCUUCUCGCUAUCACUUCUGGAUGGACCUGCGGUGCAUUAGCUUGUUGGUGGGGUAACGGCCUACCAAGGCGAUGAUGCAUAGCCGAGUUGAGAGACUGAUCGGCCACAAUGGGACUGAGACACGGCCCAUACUCCUACGGGAGGCAGCAGUAGGGAAUCUUCCACAAUGGGCGCAAGCCUGAUGGAGCAACACCGCGUGAGUGAAGAAGGGUUUCGGCUCGUAAAGCUCUGUUGUUAAAGAAGAACACGUAUGAGAGUAACUGUUCAUACGUUGACGGUAUUUAACCAGAAAGUCACGGCUAACUACGUGCCAGCAGCCGCGGUAAUACGUAGGUGGCAAGCGUUAUCCGGAUUUAUUGGGCGUAAAGAGAGUGCAGGCGGUUUUCUAAGUCUGAUGUGAAAGCCUUCGGCUUAACCGGAGAAGUGCAUCGGAAACUGGAUAACUUGAGUGCAGAAGAGGGUAGUGGAACUCCAUGUGUAGCGGUGGAAUGCGUAGAUAUAUGGAAGAACACCAGUGGCGAAGGCGGCUACCUGGUCUGCAACUGACGCUGAGACUCGAAAGCAUGGGUAGCGAACAGGAUUAGAUACCCUGGCAGUCCAUGCCG
rnacentral:rRNA from 1 species